UUUUGAUUUGCAUUUAUCUAAUAAUUAGUGAUGUUGAACAUCUUUUCAUGUGUUUUUGGCCAUCUGUAUGUCUUUGGAGAAUUGUCGGUUUAGAUCGUCUGCCCGUUUUUGAUGGGGUUGUUUGUUUUUUUCGGUAUUGAACUGCAGGAGGUGUUUAUAUAUUUCAGAGAUUAAUCCCUUGUCAUUCACUUCAUUUGCAAAUACUUUAUCCCUUUCUGUGGGUUGUCUUUUCAUUUUGUUUAGAGUUCUAUUUUCUGUGCAAAAACUUUUAAGUUUAAUUAGGUACAAUUUUUUUAUUUUUGUUUUUAUUGUCAUUACUCUAGGAGAUGGAUCUGAGAGGAUAUUGCCUAUGUUUUCCUCGAAGAGGUUUAUAGUAUCUGGUUUUAUAUUUAGGUGUUUAAUCUAUUUUGAGUUUAUUUUUGUAUAUGCUGUUAGGAAGUGUUCUAGUUUCAUUCAUUUACCUGUAAUUUCCAGUUAUCCCAGCACCACUUUUUGAAGGGACUGUCUUUUCCUCCAUUAUAUAUUCUUGCUUCCUUUGUCAUAGAUGAGUUGACCAUAGGUACAUGGUUUCACUGCUUUUUUUUUAAACUUCUGGCCGUAUUGACUCUGUAACUUCUUCUGAUUCUCAAAUCUUCCUGGAAGUCCAACCAUACAGUCUCUCUUUUUUUUUUUUAAUAGUUUUUGUUUUUCCAUUAUAGCUAGUUUACACUGUUCUGUCAAUUUUCUGCUGUAUAGCAAGGUGACCCAGACACACAUGCAUAUAUACAUAAUUUUUCUCACAUUAUUAUGCUCCACCAUAAGAGACUAGAUAUAGUUCCCAGUACUGUACAGCAGGACCAACCAUAUAGUCUUAAAACCUAAACUUUGUUUUGCAACAUCUCUUAUAAAUCACAAUCUGUUUUGAUCCUCACAGAAAAUGCUCCACAAAGGCCCUGUUCUAUCCUAAGUUGACCGUACACAUGGGUUGAACAAUACAUCAAUACAGUGACACACCUCCCCCAGGUUCAGUCCCCUGUAAUCCUAAAACAUUUUUUGCAGUCCUGUUCUCGUUCUAUAUUGCCAGUAGGAUGGUAAACACUCUAUGAACAAGACCCUGAUGUUCAAGGAAUUCUAUAAUCUGACUCCACUACAUUUCCUGCCUUCAGUCUCUUUCCUCUGUUUUCCCUCUGUGUUCCAGUCUAUUCAGGCUGCUAUAAUAGGCGCCCACAGACUAGGGAGCUUAAUAACAUGAAAUAUAUUUCCCAUAGAUCUGGAGUUUAUCUCCCAAAGUCCCUGCCUUCAAAUACCAGCACAUUGGGGUCUAGGGUUUCAACAUAUGAAUCUUGGAGGAGGACACAAACAAUCAGUCUCCAGUUCUAGGGGAGUUUUCAUAUUUAGUUGAAUGAGUCUAUGAGUUAUUCUAACAAAAAUACUUUCAAAUAUGAUAAAAUACAUAUAAUGAAAUGCUUAUGGGUGCAUUUUGAUAGUAUUAAAAAAUUCAAGGGGUUCCCAUCAUGGCUCAGCAGAAAUGAAUCUGACUAGUAUCCAUGAGGAAGCAGGUUUGAUCCCUGGCCUCUCUCAGUAGGUUAAGGAUCCGGGAUUGCCAUGAGCUGUGGUAUAGGUCACAGAUGUGGCUCAGAUCUGGUGUUGCUGUGGCUGUGGUGUAGGCCGGCAGCUGUAGCUCCAAUUUGACCCCUAGCCUGGGAACCUCCAUAUGCCACAGGUACAGCCCUAAAAAAAAGGACAAAAAAAAAAUUCAAGGAUGUCUAUGUUUCUGUAGAGUCCAAAAAUUAGUGCAUGUAUGUGAUACCGUGUACCAUUAAAAUUAAUGAAAUCUUUGCUGAUAUGAAGUGAUCUCACUAUAAUUCACAUUUAUACAUUAUAGCAGUAUCAGAGUGACCAAUUUCUCUCAGUAUUUUAUUUUUCUUGAAUAAAUGAUGAAGAGUGCCAGUGGGAUUCUGGAUGAUGGCAGGCUCCUGGGUAUUCCUUUCUUAUGUGUAAUUGGAGCACACUGUCGUGAUUUCAAGGAUGCUGUGGAGUGAGAAUAAGAGCGUCUCUAUAGCCUGAGGGCUGCCUACCAGCCAUUGCAAUUUUAAUCAAGAUAAAACAAUGCCUUAAUCCAGAAAAGUUUCACCACAGGCCAGGAGUAGGGGAGGGUUGGUUAUUAUUAUUGUAGUUGUUUAAAUUUUUACCUUUUUAAAAAUUGAGAUAUAGUUGAUGUACAAUAUUAUAUGAGUUUUGGGGGUAUGACAUAGUCACAAUUUUUAAAAGUUAUACUCCAUUUAUAGUUAUUAUAAACUAUUGGCUGUAUUCCUUGUGUUGUAUACUGUGUCCUUGUGGUUUAUUUAUUGUAUACAUAGUAGCUUGUCCCUCUUAAUUCCUUGCCCCUAUUUUGCCCCUCCCUCCUUUCCCCUCCCCACUGACAACUGCUAGUUUGAUCUCUGUGAAUCUGUUUCUAUUUUGCUAUACUCAUUUGUUUCUUUUAAUUUUUAGGUUUCACAUGUAAGUGAAAACAGAGUAUUUGCCUCUGUCUGAUCUAUUUCAUUAAGCAUCAUACCCUCUAAGUCCAAACAUGUUGCUGCAAAUGGCAAAAUUCUGUUCUCUUCAUGGCUGGGUAGUAUUCCAUUGUCUAUAAAUACUACAUCUUCUUUAUCCAUUCAUCUUUUGAUGGACACUUAGGUUGCUUUCAUAUCUUGGACAUUAUAAAUGAUGCUUCUAUGAAUGUUAGGGUGCAUAUACUAUUUGAAGUAGUGUUUUGGGCUUUUUGUUUCUUUUCUAAGUGUGUGUGCUCUGUGGAAUUCUGUGGGGGCAAUUAUCUCUAUGUGUAUGAAUAUCUCUAUUUCAAAGUCUCUUUCUCUCACUCUCUCCAAUCUAUUAAUCUAUAUGUAUAUCAGUGUUUCUCAGCCAGGAGUUAUUUUAAGCCCCAUGGGACAUUUGGCAAUGUCUCAAGACAUUUUUGGUUGUCACAGUUGGGUGGGGGUGCUACUGGGAUGUGGCAGGUAAGAUACAGAGAUGCUGGUAGAUGUUAUAUAAUGCACAGGACAGCCCCACAUGACAAAGAAUUGUCUACCACCAAAUGGCAAAAAUACCAAGGAUGCAAACCCUUGAUUUACAGCAAUAAACUACCUGUGUAAGACCAUCUGUAGCUGUAACCAUCUAUAUAUGGACCUCUACAUUUAUCUGACCUCUACCUAUCUCUCUAUAUUGUUUUUCUAUUUAAAACCUGAGCUGGAAGAGGUAAACCAGAACUCUCUGAGACUGGCAAUUAUAUCUCUGCUAGGCAGAGGUAGUCAGGCAGAUGGACUAAUUGAUGUGAAUGGAAAUGAUCGGUCUCCUACAGAAUGUUGUCAGCAAGGAAAUGGGAUUUGUACCAUAUUAGGCAUCAUCACCAAGAAUCAUUUUUACAUUCUCUUUCAAAAGGAAAUGAAAUUAUUGUUAUUAUUUUAGUCCUUGAUUUCUGGGAAAAGGGACAUAAAGUGUCAAAAAGUCAGUAAGAUAUUAAUUGAAUUUUAUUAUUCUGUGUGAUAGUGAAUCUGCAAAAAUAGUCUGUCCAAAUGGCUUAUUGGGAAGAUAUGUACAGUAAAAAGCAAGAAGGAGCUUUAAAUAAUUUGAUUUCUUAGAAUUUCCAACACUUUAAAUGAACUUUAUAUGGAUGACCAGAUUUGCUGUUGAAUGAUUUUUAAGUUUAAAAUUUACUUUUUCUUUCCACCCCCUAUUAAGUGUUUGGAUGGUAAAAAAUCUGUCCUGAUUUAUCCUUUUAUUGCCCACAUCAGCUAAGCACUGAGAACACACUAACCAAAGCAUUUUGAUUGAAAAAAUGUACAUAAGUUGUUUACAAAAUAGUUUUAAAGGAAUGAAGGCUAUGUACAAAAAUGUGUUUGUUAUACUUUUAAUUCACAAUUUCUUUUUUAAAAAGGAAAUGGGCUAUUACACAGAAGCUAAAACAAUUCAUUCUUUUACUAUAAUAAACACAGUCACCCUCCCUGUGCAUAUAAACAUGAUUGACUAUAUCUGAUUGCACUGGAAGUAAUCAAAAGGCAAAUAUUUAUCUUUGAAGACAUCUUGUUUAAAACCUUUUAAAUGUUACUGUUAAUUUGGAGUAAUCUUGAUAUUUAGACAUUUUAUGUGUUUGUACAUUUAACCAGCCAACAGUAUUAUAUAUAUAUAACUUGCAUAAGUACUUAAGAGUGUUUACAGCCCAAAGCCUCUAAAUUUAGAAUAUUCUUUCAAAUAAGAUUUCCAGAAAUAUUGGCACCUCCUUCCUAAACCUUGGUUUUGUUCUGGCUUACAUCUCCCCUGGAUUACCUCUUACAACCUGAAAUAUUAACUCAAGCAGAGUUCAGAAACCCACUCAUAGUUUCCAGGUCAUAGAUAUAAGUGAAUGAAGUCUUCAAAGCCUGUCUUUGGUUCAUCCUUGCCCUGAAUGGGGAACAGCUUGGGGAAGGGUUCUUAAGUGAGUGGGGAAUAAAGUCAGCCUAUGUGAACUUUCUUAGAAGGAGCUGGACCCCCCCCCCACCCCCCGGCGCCCAACAUUGGCUCCCAGGGUCACUGACCCUAAUUGGAUUUCCUUGGCUUCACGCCCUGGGGCCGGCUCUUGUUGGCCUGUCUCACAAUACUGGAAGAUCAGACAGUUUUCUCUCUGAGCUUUCUCUCAGUACAACUUCCCAAGCUCAAAGAUGGUAUUGAUCCCACACUAAGCCCUCAAACGGAAGAUGUAGGCUUAUGGCUAUAGUUAGACUGCUACUCACUAUAUGCUUUAUGACAAUAUCUGCUACUUUAUAGAAAUCACUAGUAUAAACCCAAAAUUUGUAUAGCUGGCUCCCUGCUUCAAGGAAAUAUUCCACCAAUGAAUAGGGUAUAUGUUCCACUUGAUAGAAUCAGAGAGUGAGCAGGAAAGAAUACUGGUGAAUCUUCCGUAUGACCUGUAACCUUUCAGCCUAAAGAGGAAAAUUGGGAUAAAGGAAACCUGGGCCUCCUGAAAGUUUCGCAAAGUCUUUCACUUUAUGGAGACAGUAUUUCAGUUUCUCACAGCUGUUCAUGGACCCUCCCGGGGCAAUUUCUCUGCUCAUCACAUCAAUCUUGCAGACCUGUGAUCAUUGCAUUCAAUGUACCCAGCUCCUCUUGAAUGUGAUACAAGUGGAUUCGUUACUGUAUUUUCUUGUUUCGCUUAAUGGUUUUCACAUUUUAUGUGCCCAGGAGUCAAAAUAUUUUGUCAGAUAUUUCUAAAAAUCAAGUAUUUAGUAUAUAGAGUUUUUUUUUUUUUUUAAGUAGUUAGGCAAAUGCGGCCUUUGAAAAGUGAGAGUUGAGGCAGGAAGGAAGUAGGACACAACUUACAAAGGUGGAGUAGUUGAGAGCAAGUGUUGCCAUCUUACCCACACGUUUAUGCUAAUUGAAAUCUGAGCUACCCUCUAAGACUUGACUGCUUUCAAAUGUAACAUGUGUUGCUCACAGAGGGCCUUGGAAAAGAUCUGUAGGCUUUAUGCUGGUACUUUACCUUCUAGAUGAGACUCUACCAUAGAGCAUAACUAUCGUGUUUUAUGAUUGAAGAAAAUAGUAUGUGUAUCUUUUAAAAUAGAUGAUGAUGGAUGGUUAAGUUAUUCACAUAGACUGCUCUCCAGGAGAAUGACUGGAAGACGCGGCAGUGGUGGGUUCUGGGAAAGCACUGAACCACUGCACAACUGUCUGGAGGAGCAGCACAACAGCCUGAGGAUGCACGUGAGUGCCUGGGUUUUUCUCUAUUUGUGACUGUGUUUGCCUAGGCUUUUUUUCCACCCGCUGUCAGAAAUGCACUGACCUGAGUGAACCCCAGCUCUUUCUGGAGAUCAGUGUCCAGGAUGGGGAACCCUGGGUGCCUGAUGACCAGCUGAGCCUUGUACCUCCUGGGGACACCUGGGGUUCUAGAGUGAGCUGUGCUUUGCCUUGCAAUCAUCUUGCAUUGGGAAGUCCUGUCUUUUGAUGAGAUGUUCUCCUGGGUCUGGUGUGAGAAUGGCUGCUAUGCCAUAGUUGGUUUGUACCCCUAAACUGGAGGCCCACCUCUAGGGCAUCUGGGGCAGAGGCCGGGUAAGGCUAGGUCUGUGUGUGCUAGGAGGUGGCAGAGUUGUGGUCCCCUCCACUUUAGCUCCCUGGGGGCUAGGCAGGGAGAGUGACACAAUCUGUGGUUUGCAUGGAUUUGGGGCCAUGAAGCAAGCCCUGUACUUGGGUCUGGAGGAAGAGGAUGGCUGUGGACAGAUGGCUGAGAGUGGCUGGAACUACAGGAACUGGAAGGUCAGAUGUGCUUCCAUGAAGGUCCUCUGUGGCCUGAGGCUCAUUAUUU
rnacentral:lncRNA from 1 species